GACGGAGGAUGCAAGUGUUAUCCGGAAUCACUGGGCGUAAAGCGUCUGUAGGUGGUUUAACAAGUCCACUGUUAAAGAUUGAAGCUUAACUUCAAAAAUGCCGUGGAAACUUUUAAACUUGAGUAUGAUAGGGGUAGAGGGAAUUUCCAGUGGAGCGGUGAAAUGCGUAGAUAUUGGAAAGACCACCAAUGGCGAAGGCACUCUACUGGGCCAUUACUGACACUGAGAGACGAAAGCUAGGGGAGCAAAUGGG
rnacentral:rRNA from 1 species